AUGUAUGUAUGUCUCACCUGCUGGUGUCACCUCCUCCAGAUCCUUUAGACCUUUCUUGAUUUUCUCUCUGUGAACGAAAAAAAGCAGGAGUUUCACCCAGGCAGAGGCAGCAGGGCUCGUCCUGGCUGCUGGCACCGGUCAGGGCUGCCAAAGCCGGCUCACAGAAACCUGGACUGCUGCUGGCCAGGACAGCUGGCCAAAAGAGAACAAAGGCAACAUCAUGCCAGCUGUAUGGUAUUCCUGAAGGUAUCCACCGUCCCAAACCAUGUGCUUCCCGGCAGCCAGCCCUGAAGGUUCAAAACCCAGAAGAGUGUGCACGGCGGCAGCUUCUGGACGAAAGGGAGAGAGCAGAGGUCAUGUUGGUUUUGAGAAAGCUGAGAGGACACCAAAGGACUCUGACAGCAGUGCCACUGUCCUCUGCUGAGAGCGCUCGUUCCACACAACCAUCUCCCAGUUUCUGAUGACACAAUGCCAAUUUCCAACUCCGCUUUUUAUGUUUAUCAAAUCCUCCCGGUGCCCACUGACUGCCUUAGCCCUGAGAAAGAAUGCAGGGCCUUCCAGAGUGAGACUGGGCUUGUUCCUACGACCAGAGAGCUGUGAGACUUGAAAACUUCUUCCCUAAAAGCAUUCAGGGAAAUGUCAUGGUAAAAAGCAAUGCUGUACAAACUGCUUUUAUUAAGGAAUUCAAUCUCUUUUUUCUUCCAUUUAUUUUUAAGAAGGUCACCUGUCUCUGCACAAGGUUGCAGGGAAUCAUAUCUAAUUAGCAGUGGAAAGCACUUAGGAGUUGCCAGAUGCUCUGGAGGCUCAAGACAGGAAUUUUCCCAAGGUAAGCUGUAACAUCUCUCCUGCAUGAUUUUACAUUUUAUUCAUCACAAUUUGAAUAUAUUCACUAACUUGGUAAUUUACUGUACAUGAGAAUCACCAUUAAUUAAUCAGGUUAUAGUUAGUAAGGACUUAACACUUGAAAAGCUGAAUGACCAUAUGUUUUCAGUCCACUGAUGUCACUGAUGCAGCUUAAAACUAUUGACAUCAAGGGAAUGUAAGUACUUCUUUUUCUUUUUUUUUCUUCUUUUUUUUUUUUUGGUGUAAUUCCAGACAAAACAACAAAACAACUUUCAAAAGUUUCUGUCGCCACCUGGACAGAAUUUUUAUAGAAGUUUACAGAAGAUUUGCUUUUGACAAGAUGACAAUAAGCUAUAUUUACCUAUAAAAGCUUAACUGGAUCAUCCUUUUCUUAGCAAGCCAAGAUUACAACUGCACUCUGCACUGGGUUUUCCUCAGCAAAACCUACCACACCAGCUCUCCCUUUGUGUGUGGUGAGGGAUUCGUUCAGUUUAUUCUGGGUUUUGUGGUAAGGUUUUUUAAAGCAAAGCACUGCAAUCCUCAGCUGUUUGUACAGAGCAGUCAGCCAGGAUUUGCAGCAGCUAUUUCAAGAGGAGCUGGGCUUGCCCGACAACACUGCUGACAGUAACAAAGUUGAUUAUACGUAAGUACAACAAAGGCGCUGUUACAUGGCAUGGGCUUCCUCUGCGUUUGAGCUUUAACAUUGCUCCCUUCCUUUUGACCUGCACUAUAUAUUAACGCAUAUGUUUACAUGUGUUCAAGAUUGUUUCUUUAUACAGAUCUCCAAACACAGAAUUUGAGCAGUACUCCAUCAGAAACUAGGCACAUGGUAUAUUGAAAAUCAAGUUUAACAAAAACUUCAAAUCACAUCUGAGAGUCAUUUAAGAAAUUCGUCGCCACGCUCCCGGACCUACAAGGGAAAACCAGAGCACAUCAGCGGCCUGAUCCGGGCUGACAUUUCGGAAGAAACUGACCAUAUUCGCGGCUGCGGACGUGAAUCAGACUGCAAAAAGGAUCUUGCUUUUCACUCCGCAGGAGGAGAUGGGGAAGUCGGAGUCAUCCUGCUGGAGAGUUUUCCUCUCAUCUCACUUCAGCCCCAUUCCUGCUGUCUCUGGACGGCUUGCUGUAGCCACAGCACUCUGACCUGACACAUCCGUGUCACGGUGCCUUCUCCACGCCAAUCCCAACACCAAGCCAAACCUCCCUAUGAUGCAAGCUGGAAACUUUACCAAAGCCCGUGGACCAGCAGUGGAUAAUGUCAGCCAGAGAUCUGGCUCACGGAGUUCUUAGUGCCUUUGAGCUAGCAAGGCCAAAGGGAUAUGAACCACACAUGGAAGUCUCAUGCUUUGUAAAAGGAAAGAGAAACCAGAGGGGCUCCAGCAAUUAUACAAGAUGCAGGAGCUGUUUGAGAGCUGCCUCCUGAAGGAUUAGCUACAAAUCCUUGUUCCCUUCACAGCUGUAGCCUUGUGUCUGUGUGCAUCCUGUAAAGCAGUGUAGAAAUGAAUAAAUAAAAAGGACAGCAUUAAGUAACACAGGAACUCUCGUGUCCAUGUGGUACUGCCUGCAUCAUCCAGAUGGAAAGUAUCUGUCUAGACAAAUCUGGGAAUUAUGCAAGCUUGGAAUUCCUGUAUAGCUCUUCCUUUCCAACAUCAUGAAGCAUUUGCAGUGCCCACCGAAAAUACAGAAAUACAGGGGAGAAAGAAACCCUUCAAUCCCAGCAGCCAGGAAACCUAAACACUGGCAGUAUGUUGGAUGAGAGAAGGUCUAGGUGCAGGAAUAUGGAGCAGUGUCCCUGCUAUGUGCAGGCUGACUCAUCCCCGAGGAGCCAGGAUGGUCCCUGGUGCUCACUCCUGUCUCAGCAGAAGCAGAGGAGGCUCCCUUGAGCUUCUUGUGGUUCUCUGCUGCCUGAUGCCCUGGACAAGGCACAGAGCUGCUUGUUUCCACUUUUCCAGAGCUGUUUGUUUCCACGGUGCUCAGGCAAGCAGAAGGAAUGAAAACAAAGAGGCAAAGAUGGGCUGUCCGGUGCAAACCACAACAGCAUAAAAAUAAAUCACUCCGCCUGGAAGAGCCAAAAAAAAAGCAGGACAGAAAACAUGGAAAUCCCAUUCUGGCCCGGGAGUUGCUGCUGGCUCUGAGCAACACCCAGGGAUCACUGGGGCUGGGAGCACAACUCUAGAGUUGCAGUGACCCUUUUUGGUGUUCUUGGGAAACAACGGCCCGGCCAGAGACAGAAGAAUGGAGCAGCCAGGAACUCUGCCUGCAGAGCAGUGUAACCCAGGGCAGGGAUGACCCAAUUCUCAAUAUUGUGGAGAAAAGUCAUUUUUUAAAAAGCCCAGGUCGUGAUCCAGCAGUCAUCCGGUUUGUGGCAGUUUUAUCACUGACUCCAGGGAAGCAGGUUCAAACCUUCCAAGGUGCAUCCAAACAGAAACGUCCCUUGUGGUCAGUUUGGGGUCACACUGGAGGAAAAGGGGCUGAUGUUUGUACCCUGGCCCCUUCAGUGCUGCAGAGGAGAGUGAGAGAGAGCAUUGUGUCAGUCCUGUCCUCCCAGGCCCAGGAGAGAAAGAGUAAAGAGCAACUGGGAGCCUGAGAGAUAAAACAACGGCUUGUACCACUGUUUGGGGGCAAUCAGGGCAAUAUUUAUGCAGGGCCAGGGGGCUGCAGCAGGACAUCACAUCAUGCCUGAGCCACCGUUGGAUCAGCAGCCCGGAAAGCAGAUGUGCCAAUUUCCUGUCCUUGAUGAUGAUGGGCCCUAAUUACGCCAGAGCUGUGGCAAUGUCCUUUCUUGUGUAUGACCCCUAAUUUGGUUUCAUGAAGUCGUCUGUGCCAGGUUCUUCCGGCUGCAAGGCUGGGGCGAGUGACAGUCACGAAGAGCCCUGUGCUCUGUGUGCCCAAACACCUGGCCCGUGCUUUGAACCAACAAAAUUCAACUGGGAACAAACAAAAUUCGGGCAACUCACUGGGAGCUGGCCCCUGUGCUUGGCUGCAACACCGUUCCUCUGCCCUGUGUAAUCUCAGGUUAGUGAAGAUUUGUACACCAAACUCCACGUCUAGAGGAUGUGCUUGGGGAAGCACCACUUAGAGGAGGUAGGAUGGGUUUUCCAUUGCAGUCAGCUCCUGGUUCUGCUGCUGUCACACCGCAGGGCAGGAAGGGUGAGUGUGGGGGUGUUUGCUGGCUGACUCACGGCCCUGCCUGGUUAUUCACCAGCCAGAUCACACCGCUGACUUGGCAUGCAUCAGCCUUGCCCUGUUCAUGUGAGCUGCUCCCCUGGCUGCCUGGAUGACAAGUGUUUCUGAUCACCAGUGUAACUGUGCCGGCCUUAAGACAGGAGUGAUGUGGCUGGGAUGUGUCUUAUCUGACUGAUGUUUACAUCUGUGUGACUCUGAAUUACCUUUUCCUCAGUUUCUCCACAUGUAAGAAGUUUACCUUAUAUGCACUCAUGUCCUGUUAUCUGCCAUACAAUGUUUUAUCCUUUUCUCUUCUUCCUGUGUCUGGGCAGUUAAAAUGGGCGGAGGUGGAGCCGUGCUGACUGGAUUGCAGGCUUCAUUUUCUGCAGUGCCAUUGGCAGAGCAACAAAUGCUACAAGAGCAGGAAGGGUCGUAUCCCUCCCCCCAGGGACAAGCUGGUGAAGCAGCUUGGCAAGGACCUCGUAUGUUUUCAUGGAUCAGCUUAGCAGGGUGCAGAAGAUGGUGUGCUUGGCACUGCUUUUGAGGAACAGGGUCUUGUGCUCCUGCCCUAGCAAGAACUGUUGGAAGCAGCUGCACUUCAGAGAAUGAGCCAGAGUCACCGUGAGCUUGGAAAGGUACUUCGGUGCACAGAGACCAAAAGAAAUGGGAGAUGGUGUCAGCUGCAGAACAAGUACCUUCCCAGAGCUUCUGAGCAGAGGAAAAUGGAGCCUCUCUUCCCAGAGAGUGACGUUUGUAGCAGUGCCCAGCAGAUGCUCCUUCCUUCCACCUCUGGUCCCCACAUCUCUUGCAGGGCAGGGCGGGGAGUGCCCAGCCUGUCCUGGGUGUGCAGCUGCCCCUUUGGGCUGUGAACCAAGCUGUCAGGGCCAGCACUGAGACCGCUCUGUCACGAGCAGGGCGGCUGUCUGGGCUGCAGCAGGUAGACCCCCAGAGGGGCAGCACAUCUGAGCCAGGCUGGCCCCGAGCAGCAUGGAAAGGAGCCAUCCCUGAAGCAGGAUUGCCUUUGAGCUGGCAGCAGACGAGUGAUUGGCAUUGGGCAGUGCUGCUGAGACUCUGGCAGGCCGUUUAGCAGAGAACCUUGGCUAAUGAAUGUCAUCCACACCUAGCAGAUGUGCCACUGCCUGCCAUGCCAGAUUUUUGACAUAAUACAGGGCUGCUGGACACGACAGUGCUCGGGAAAAGCCAGGGAGGGACUUGUGCCUUCAACGUGGCGUUUGGUCCUUCUCGUGCUCUGCAAGAGAAACGAAACCUGCAGAAGGGAGGGAGGCACAGCCGCGUCUCCCGGCCCUCCACCCUGGUUUUAUCGAUACAGAUAUACAAGGCAAACCAAAGGUUUCGGCUGCUAUUCAGUGCCUCCUCAUUUGUCCCAGAGCCGUAACAGUGGUGCCCUUUCUCUUCUGGCUGCUUUUCCCUGCUUCUGGAGCAGCAGUUAUGGGAGAAGCAGAUGGCUACUGAUUGGGGACUGUCACUCGCUGCAGAGGCCAAGGCCUCCAGAGCCCCCGGGCAGCACCAGGAGGGGAGAGGCCAUCCCUGCAGGAGGAUUAUCCACCUGAGGGAACAUGCUGGGCACUCAGCUCCUGCCGUGCGUAACUCAGCGACCACCCAGGGUCCGGCGGGGAGCUGUGAGUGACAUCCUCACGGACCGACAGCAGAGAACUCCUGUGGCCACCAAAAAGACGUGCAGCCCACCACUCUGAGCUCAGGUGUCCUGAGGAGAUGGAGCCCAGCACUGCCCCACCCCAUGCCGGUCCCAGCAUGGGACGUGCUGGUGGCACACACAGGGACAGAAAGGCCCAAGGGUGUACAGGAGGCGGAGGCAGAUUUCAGUCCUGCAGGGAUUCCCCUUCUUCCAUUUCUCUCCCUUUUCUGUCCUUCGUAGCCAAUCAUGUCUUCUGUCAGGCUGUUAAAUGUUUGAAGGAAGGUGAAGCUAGGUGAAAGAUUUCCAGGUUUUAAACCUUGAUGCUGCUGUCAGGCCAAGAAAGGAGGAGAAGCAGAAAGCCUGAGAAAAAUAAUUCUGAAAUAGAAAGUCAGCAGUGAUAGAGGGCUAUGUAUGAACCGUUUAACCAGCCACCUGUAUUAUGUUUAGUGGUCUAGGGUUAUCGGUAAUAAAAAGAAUUCCUGUGACCCUUUGGUGAAUAUGCAAAUUAAUAUUUCUAACCAGACUCUGUGUUUGCUCGGAAGAAAGUAGAAGGGAAGUUCAGGCACAAUUAGGGAUGAGGAAAAAGCCAAGAUGCCUGUGGUGUAUCUGAACCAUGAGAAGGCAGGUAGGGAAAGUAUGUCAGCUUCCUGGGGAGCAGGAGCAUUGGCUCCUUGGGGUGAACCACAGCUAAAGGUGGUAUCUGGCCCUUUUUAGGGAUUUGUGGCAUUACAGUGACCUGAUCCGGGAGUCCAGCACCGGUGAGGUGGGGCUGAAGUGCCAGAGGGAAUAGGAAAGGACAGGAAUCCUCAGGUGUGUUUGGGAGCUGGGCUGGAAAAAAGGGAGAGCACUGGUGGUGUGCCUCAGCCGUGGCAGGGACCUGGAGGUACUCAAACGUUCAUCUGGAUGUGGGUCUGAGGACUCCCAGUGGGCUCCCCAUGCAGAAUGAGCAGUGGGGGAAGUGCCCCUCCUCUCUGUGUCCCAUGUCUGUAGCAUGAUGGGAUGUCUCUGGCACCCCAGCAUAGGGCUUCCCCAGGAAAGGAGCCAUCCAUGAGCCUGGUGACAAGCAGAAAGGAUGGUUUCAGUCAUUCAGCUGAGGCCCUGAUUUAUUUCCACUACAGAGGCCUGUCUGUCUCCAGGGAAGGGAACCGUUCUGGCUGCAUUUCUCCAGGCACCAGGAAAGCUUGUGGCUCCACAUUUCGUUUUAAGUGGAUUUUCCAUUCCACCUGGUGUGCACCUCCCGGGGAGCACAGCUGGCCCUGCCCCUGGCAGCAGCACGCAGAGAGGGUAGCAGAGCAGUUCAGAGCAUCCUUUUGUGCCCCCUCCUCACAGUGCCCUGGCCCCGCAGGAGUGAGUGUGGCUGGGCUUGUGUGCCUCUGGGAACUCGUGUGUUCUCUCAGUGAUGUUAUUUUAUGAGUGAUUUUAUUGCAGUCACCUGGGAGCUGACUCUCAGCUGUGUGUCUCCUCACGGGAGUAACCACACACCCGUAGGCCUGGUGCAUGCCACGACUCAGGCAGUGUUUCCCAAAGGAUGCGGGAGUGUUUCUGAGCACAGGUUGAGCAGCCUUUCCUGGUCCCUCUCCUCUCCCCUUCCUGCGUGAAGGUCAGGGAGGAAAGAAAAGACUGGCACUCCCGGGAGCAGGUUCUCUGUCCCUUGCAGCCGUCCCCACACUAACUCAUCGCGGGCAGAAGAGGGUUAUCACGGUGGUUAGUGAUAACGGUGUCCAAGCAUCCAGGCAUCCCCACUCUGCCAGCCCCGCAGCCACCUGAAUCUCCACCAGGUCCCCACCCUGGCUUCCGCGGGGAUUUGGC